UCUCCGUAGGUGAACCUGCGGAAGGAUCAUUACUGAGUGAGCGCCCCUCGGGGUCCAACCUCCCACCCGUGCUUAACGAACCUUGUUCCUCCCCCGGGCCCGCCUCACCGCCGCCGGGCGGCAUCCGCCCCCGCGCCCGCCCUCUCCUAAUCCACCUGUGAACGCCUACAGAAGCAUACAACUUGAGACAUUUAACAAAUUAAUUAAAACUUCUAACAACGGAUAUCUUCGCUCCGGCAUCGAUGAAGAAACCAGCAGACCGCAAUAACACACUCUUGA
rnacentral:misc_RNA from 1 species